rnacentral:rRNA from 1 species
GACGAACGCUGGCGGCGUGCUUAACACAUGCAAGUCGAACGAUGAAGCAGAGAAACGCGCACUUCGGUUCAAAUUUCACUUCGGAUUAGUGGCAGACGGGUGAGUAACGCGUGAGCAACCUACCUCUUACAAAGGGAUAGCCUCGGGAAACCGUGAUUAAUACCAUAUGACACAUUCAUAAGGCAUCUUAAGAAUGUUAAAGCUACGGCGGUAAGAGAUGGGCUCGCGUCCCAUUAGCUAGUUGGUGAGGUAACGGCCCACCAAGGCGACGAUGGGUAACCGGGAGGGGAGGGUGAACGGUCACAUUGGAAAUGAGACACGGUCCAAACUCGUACGGGAGGCAGCAGUGGGGAAUAUUGCACAAGGGAGGGAACUCUGAUGCAGCGACGCCGCGUGAGCGAUGAAGGAAUUCGUUUCGUAAAGCUCUGUUCUAUGGGAAGAAAAGGACUGUACCAUAGGAGAAAGCCCCGGCUAAAUACGUG